UACGUAGGGUGCAAGCGUUGCCCGGAUUCAUUGGGCGUAAAGGGCGCGCAGGCGGCUUCGUGCGUCACGCGUGAAAUCGCUCGGCUCAACCGGGCGGGGUCGGGUGGAUACGGCGAAGCUCGAGCAAGGUAGGGGGCCAUGGAAUUCCCGGUGUAGUGGUGGAAUGCGUAGAGAUCGGGAGGAACACCCGUGGCGAAGGCGACUCUCUGGUCUGUAACUGACGCUGAGGCGCGAAAGCGUGGGGAGCGAACGAGG
rnacentral:rRNA from 1 species